rnacentral:rRNA from 1 species
GACGAACGCUGGCGGCGCGCCUAACACAUGCAAGUCGAACGAGAGAGAGGGAGCUUGCUUCCUCGAUCGAGUGGCGAACGGGUGAGUAACGCGUGAGGAACCUGCCUCAAAGAGGGGGACAACAGUUGGAAACGACUGCUAAUACCGCAUAAGCCCACGACCCGGCAUCGGGAAGAGGGAAAAGGAGCAAUCCGCUUUGAGAUGGCCUCGCGUCCGAUUAGCUAGUUGGUGAGGUAACGGCCCACCAAGGCGACGAUCGGUAGCCGGACUGAGAGGUUGAACGGCCACAUUGGGACUGAGACACGGCCCAGACUCCUACGGGAGGCAGCAGUGGGGAAUAUUGCACAAUGGGGGAAACCCUGAUGCAGCGACGCCGCGUGAGUGAUGAAGUAUUUCGGUAUGUAAAACUCUAUCAGCAGGGAAGAUAAAUGACGGUACCUGACUAAGAAGCACCGGCUAAAUACGUG